UUAGAUCUUCAAGGUUAGGAUUUAGGUAGCUCUGUUAUGGGCGUUCGUUUGGUUUUAUAAUUUGGAUUUAUGGUUUGGGUUAAGGGUUUACGGUUUGGGUUUAGGGUUUAGGGGGGUUUUUGGUUUAGGGUUUGGGUUUAGGGUCUACGGUUUAGGUUUAGGGUUUAGACCUUCAAGGUUAGGGUUUAGGUAGCUCCGUUAUAGGCGAUGGUUUGGUUUAACAAUUUGGGUUUAGGAUCUGGGUUAAGGGUUUACGGUUUGGGUUUAGAAUUUGUGUGUAGGGUUUGGGUUUAUGGUUUAGAUUUUUGGUUUAGGGUUUAGGAGCUCCGCUAUGGUUUACGGUUUGGGUUUAGGGUUUAGAAUUUAGGUUUAGGGGGGUUUAGGGUUUAGGUAAUUCUGUUUGGGUCUAUAGUUUGGGUUUAGAAUUUGUGUUUAGGGUUUGGGUUUAUGGUUUAGAGUUUUGGUUUAGGGUUUAGGUAGCUCCGCUAUGGUUUACGGUUUGGGUUAAGAAUUUGAGUUUAGAGUUUGGGUUUAGGGUAUACGGUUUGGGUUUAAGGGUCUACCGUUUGGGUUUAGUGUUUAGGUUUAGGUUUAGGGUGUAGUGUUUAGAGUUUGGGUUUAGGUAGCAGGUUUAGGAUUUAUUUGGUUGUGUUUUAUUAUGUUGGUAACUAAUAUCAAUUGCCAUACUAUUCUAAAUAAAAUAUAUUAUAGUUAGAGUGAAAUUAUUCGUGUGACUAUACUAAAUAGUUUGUAGUAUAGUAUGAUAAUUUU
rnacentral:lncRNA from 1 species